GUGGGGAAUAUUGGUCAAUGGGCGGGAGCCUGAACCAGCCAAGUCGCGUGAAGGAAGAAGGAUCUAUGGUUCGUAAACUUCUUUUGCAGGGGAAUAAAGUGCAGGACGUGUCCUGUUUUGUAUGUACCCUGAGAAUAAGGAUCGGCUAACUCCGUGCCAGCAGCCGCGGUAAUACGGAGGAUCCGAGCGUUAUCCGGAUUUAUUGGGUUUAAAGGGUGCGUAGGUGGUUUGAUAAGUCAGCGGUGAAAGUUUGCAGCUUAACUGUAAAAAUGCCGUUGAAACUGUCGGACUUGAGUGUAAAUGAGGUAGGCGGAAUGCGUGGUGUAGCGGUGAAAUGCAUAGAUAUCACGCAGAACUCCGAUUGCGAAGGCAGCUUACUAAGCUACAACUGACACUGAAGCACGAAAGCGUGGGGAUCAAACAGGAUUAGAUACCCGGGUAGUCC
rnacentral:rRNA from 1 species